UACGUAGGGUGCAAGCGUUAAUCGGAAUUACUGGGCGUAAAGCGUGCGCAGGCGGUUCGCUAAGACAGAUGUGAAAUCCCCGGGCUUAACCUGGGAACUGCAUUUGUGACUGGCGGGCUGGAGUACGGUAGAGGGGGAUGGAAUUCCGCGUGUAGCAGUGAAAUGCGUAGAUAUGCGGAGGAACACCGAUGGCGAAGGCAAUCCCCUGGACCUGUACUGACGCUCAUGCACGAAAGCGUGGGGAGCAAACAGG
rnacentral:rRNA from 1 species